rnacentral:rRNA from 1 species
UACAGAGGGUGCGAGCGUUAAUCGGAAUUACUGGGCGUAAAGCGCACGUAGGCGGUUGAUUAGGUCGAUUGUGAAAUCCCUGGGCUUAACCUGGGAACUGCAGUCGAUACUGUUCAACUAGAGUAUGGUAGAGGGAAGUGGAAUUUCCGGUGUAGCGGUGAAAUGCGUAGAUAUCGGAAGGAACACCAGUGGCGAAGGCGACUUUCUGGACCAAUACUGACACUGAGGUGCGAAAGCGUGGGUAGCGAACAGG